rnacentral:rRNA from 1 species
UGCAUGUCUAAGUACUUGCCGCUAACAGGCGAAACUGCGAAUGGCUCAUUAAAUCAGUUAUGGUUUCUUAGAUCGUACUUUACUACUUGGAUAACUGUGGUAAUUCUAGAGCUAAUACAUGCAGCAGAGCUCCGACCCCUCGGGGAACGAGCGCUUUUAUUAGACCAAGACCAAUCGGGCCUAGUGUCCGUUGUAUGUGGCGACUCUGUAUAACUUUGGGCUGAUCGCACGGGCUUGUCCCGGCGACGCAUCUUUCAAGUGUCUGCCUUAUCAACUGUCGAUGGUAGGUUAUGCGCCUACCAUGGUUGUAACGGGUAACGGGGAAUCAGGGUUCGAUUCCGGAGAGGGUGCCUGAAAAACGGCAACCACAUCCAAGGAAGGCAGCAGGCGCGCAAAUUACCCACUCCCGACACGGGGAGGUAGUGACAAAAAAUAACAAUACGGGACUCUUAUGAGACCCCGUAAUUGGAAUGAGUACACUCUAAAUCCUUUCACGAGGAACUAUUGGAGGGCAAGUCUGGUGCCAGCAGCCGCGGCAAGUCCAGCUCCAAUAGCGUAUAUUAAAGUUGUUGCGGUUAAAAAGCUCGUAGUUGGAUCUCAGUUCCAGACGGCAGGUCUAUCUAACGAUGGCUACCUGCUGUACUGAACAACCAGUCGGUUUCCCUCGAUGAUCUUCACCGGUUGUCUUGGGUGACCGACACGUUUACUUUGAAAAAAUUAGAGUGCUCAAAGCAGGCGCGACGCCUGAAUAAUGGUGCAUGGAAUAAUGGAAUAGGACCUCGGUUCUGUUUUGUUGGUUUUAGGAGCUCGAGGUAAUGAUUAAGAGGGACAGACGGGGGCAUUCGUAUGCGACGCUAGAGGGAAA